rnacentral:rRNA from 1 species
UACGUAGGUGGCAAGCGUUGUCCGGAUUUAUUGGGCGUAAAGCGCGCGCAGGCGGUCCUUUAAGUCUGAUGUGAAAUCUUGCGGCUCAACCGCAAGCGGUCAUUGGAAACUGGGGGACUUGAGUGCAGAAGAGGAAAGCGGGAAUUCCACGUGUAGCGGUGAAAUGCGUAGAGAUGUGGAGGAACACCAGUGGCGAAGGCGGCUUUCUGGUCUGUAACUGACGCUGAGGCGCGAAAGCGUGGGGAGCAAACAGGAUUAGACCUACGGUCUC